AGUACUGACAAACCCUGCAGACACUAGUACAAUUUGAUCGUAAACAAAGCCCUUGCCAGCACAGUCCAGCAAAUUCGGAGAAAACACAUACAAAAGUUAAAAGACAGCUCGAUUUUAUCGUCCUCCCAACACUUGCAACUGUUUCCAGAUUUUCUGUGCAGUCUUCUUUGUGCUUUCAGUUCAGUCAAAAUUAGAAAGAACAACAAACUUGUAAAGUCAGGCGCUAACUGUGCAAAACUGACCAGACCAUGGAGAAGGGGAGGCACCAUUUUACAAAAUAUUAUUAAGAUCACCAGCAUUAAUUUAAAUUAUUUUCUUUUCUGGACUUCCAAGUCCACUUGGCAAUUUACUUGGGAAAAUAUCAUGCUUAAAUAGAAAACUGGUAUUCUAAACACAUUUUCUUUAUGUGACAUAUUCUUGUGUGUCUAUGUAAUGAGAAUUUUUAAAAAAUUGUUUUCUUCCUGCUGUCAAAACUUCGGCAUUAAAAAUAAGGGACUGUAAACCUAGCUGACUUACCCAUAAAAAGGAGUAAGUUCGGGAGAUGAGAGGACCAACAGAAUCCAAGCACCCUGUCACUCCCAGCCCGGACCUCUCAGGCGUGGUUUUGACAGGAGGUGCGUUUAUGGGGCAUUCACUGGCUCCUCAGAAUGGACAGAUAAUAUAGAAAUGCUAGGAAGAAACAUUCCUGCAACAGUCUGCAGAACAAAUGUGCCAGUUUUGCCUUAGAAUGUCUUAAGACAUCUCAGCAAUGUUGGAUCAUAUGGCCCCUUUGGCUAUAUGACCCAUCUUUAAAGCUGAAAUAAAAAUUGUUAGAAAAAUAUUCUAGGAGGAAUGAAACUAAAAAAAAAAAAAAAAAAAAAAAAAAAAAAAAAAGUUAAAAAUAUGUGCUCACCUUAAUUGUUUCACUGUGUCAGUUUUGGUUCUGAAUGUGACGUGAGGAUCCUAUCCAAUGCAGCUAUUAAACCAUGCAGCCACCACAGGUAUGUCGUACGUAAGACCUCAUUACAGUGACGAUUUAACAGCACAAGUUAAUUUUUUCAUGGCUCAUCAUGACAAAACGAUUACAGAGUAGGCGAAGAACAGAGUGAGUGCUUUCUUCUCACCAGGGCCUUCAUCAGUGAGUCAACUGCUCUUGACGCCAGCAAGUCAGUCUGAUGUUCCCAGGUGAAACCCGCCCUUGGCUCCGUGAGCGAAUGAGACCGAGGUAAACCCAAUGCAGCUCUGCA
rnacentral:lncRNA from 1 species